UAAGAGCAACACUGGACACGACAUAAUUAAAGACUGUUGAAUUCCGAGAAAAGAGGAAUAGACUCCCGUUGGGUACACUCAGAGACUUACAGUAUAACUGGUGAAUAAGAUCGGAUCAAGUCUAAGCACGCGGCUAUUCAACAAAUGAACAUGGAUGGAGCUGGAGGCUAUUAUCCUUAGCAAACUAACGCAGGAACAGACAACCAACUACCGCAUGUUCUCACUUACAAGGAGAUAAAUGAUAAGAACUUAUGAAUACAAAGAAGGAAAACACAGUGGGGUCUUCUUGAGAAGGGUGGAUGGGAAGAGGGAAAAGAGCAGAAAAGCUUUACUUUUCGCUUCAAAUUUUCACUUGCUAAUAUGCAACUGCAUGUUUGAGUGUGAUGACUUUUUGGUGCAAAUAUUCUGCUGUCAAGAUAUCCAGUUUAAAACAGCUUUGCCAUAGAAGAACUUUAAGAUUGCAAAAAUCAGGUAAUCUGAAGACUGAAAAAAUGUGCUGUGUCACCUUACUAUCCUUGGUACUGCUAAUUGGAUCAGGGCUGUGGACAUUGGACCGUGGUCAGAGAUCUAUAAUAGUCUCGUGGGCAAGCUCUGCCCAGCAAAGACCCCUCAAUAUUGCAUAGUAAAUGCCCCAAAUAAUCAGAUACUCUUUUUGAAGACAUUUCAACUUGAGACAUAAGGGAAAUAGUUUGGUAGUAGUAGGAAUAGUGGAAGCAGAGUUAAAGAAUAUCCAAGUCUCUUUAAAAGCAGAGUACCUGAAGAGGGAUUGAGAAGUUAAUAUUACUUUGAUGAUGACAAUGCAACAAAAUGUCUUAUACCUUAAGAGAUUCUAGUUCUGAAACUAUGUGUCAGUCUUCAUAAUCCAUUUUAUCUCUCAAUAAGCCACCAUUAGUUAAGGUAAUUGAAAACUUAAAAGAUUGUAACUUACAAAGACAUUUAACUUGUUUCUGAUUUUUCAGUUUUGCAUAUGAAUAACUUCAUGUACAUAGUUUUAAUCUUCUGUUGAAUUAGUUCUAUAGCAUAAACUCCUAGAAGUGGUCUCAUGGUUUCAAGAAAAACAUUGUGGUUUUUACCACCUGUGUUGCCAUAUUAUUUUCCAAAAGGAUUGUAACAAUUUAUCAGCAGGAUUUGAGUAUGGAUUUCACUGUAAUCUCACGUGUUGAUUUUUUUCCUAAUUUUAAGGAUAUAUAAUUAUGCCCUCAAAGCUUUCUUAGUUUACAUGUUUUUGAUUCAUAUCAAAUAUUGUUGAGGCCGGGUGCGGUGGCUCACGCCUGUAAUCUGAGCACUUUGGGAGGCCAAGGCAGGCUGAUCACUUGAGGCCAGGAGUUAGAGACCAGCCUGGCCAACAUGGUGAAACCCUCUCUCUACUAAAAAAAAAUACAAAAAUUAGCCAGGUGUGGUGGCACAUGCCUGUAAUCCUAGCUACUCAGGAGACUGAGGUAGGAGAAUCACUUGAAUCCGGGAGGUGGAGGUUGCAGUGAGCUGAAAUCGCACCAUUGCACUCCAGCCUGGGUGACAGAGUGAGACCCUGUCUCAAUCAAUCAAUAAAUGAAUAAAUAAAUAAACAAAAAACCACAAAUAUUGUUGAGAAAAUUUUGAUGAACUUUAUGCAGACCUAAAAGUCCUCACGCCCUAUGGACCAGCAGAUGCAACUUUAAACAUGUAAACUGAUGACGUUAGAGUUAGCAAUGUGUAAAUCUUAGAUUGAAUUUCUAGUGUUUGUGAACUUGAAAACAAAGGCCUGAUUAAAUGUAGACCACAAUAUGAGAUUGACAGGCUUCUGCUUGGACUAGACGUGACCUCAUCAGUCCUUCAACAAAAGGCCAUUAUUCAUUGCAUUAAUUUCAAUGUGAGGAUUAGCUUUUAUUCCAAAUGAUCUCAGAAAGUUUUGUUCUUUAGAUCAAUUUUCUAC